rnacentral:lncRNA from 8 species
ACUACACUCAUACACACUAUAGCUUUAUUUAUUCAUUCAAAAUCUCUCUUCCCCUCUCUCUCCGUCUCUCUCUUCCCCUCUCUCUCCGUCUCUCUCUUCCCCUCUCUCUCCGUCUCUCUCUUCCCCUCUCUCUCCGUCUCUCUCUUCCCCUCUCUCUCCGUCUCUCUCUUCCCCUCUCUCUCCGUCUCUCUCUUCCCCUCUCUCUCCGUCUCUCUCUUCCCCUCUCUCUCCGUCUCUCUCUUCCCCUCUCUCUCCGUCUCGCUCUCUCUCCGUCUCGCUCUCUCUCCGUCUCUCUCUUCCCCUCUCUCUCCGUCUCUCUCUUCCCCUCUCUCUCCGUCUCUCUCUUCCCCUCUCUCUCCGUCUCUCUCUUCCCCUCUCUCUCCGUCUCUCUCUUCCCCUCUCUCUCCGUCUCUCUCUUCCCCUCUCUCUCCGUCUCUCUCUUCCCCUCUCUCUCCGUCUCUCUUCCCCUCUCUCUCUCCGUCUCUCUCUUCUCCUCUCUCUCUCUUCCCCUCUCUUCUCCGUCUCUCUCUCUUCCCCUCUCUUCUCCGUCUCUCUCUCUUCCCCUCUCUUCUCCGUCUCUCUCUCUUCCCCUCUCUUCUCCGUCUCUCUCUCUUCCCCUCUCUUCUCCGUCUCUCUCUCUCCGUCUCUCUCUCUCCGUCUCUCUCUCUCCGUCUCUCUCUCUCUCCGUCUCUCCGUCUCUCUCUCUUCGUCUCUCCGUCUCUCUCUCUUCGUCUCUCCGUCUCUCUCUCUUCGUCUCUCCGUCUCUCUCUCUUCGUCUCUCCGUCUCUCUCUCUUCGUCUCUCCCUCUCUCUCUCUUCGUCUCUCCCUCUCUCUCUCUUCGUCUCUCCCUCUCUCUCUCUUCGUCUCUCCCUCUCUCUCUCUUCGUCUCUCCCUCUCUCUCUCUUCGUCGCUCUCUCUCUCUCUCUUCGUCUCUCUCUCUUCGUCUCUCUCUUCGUCUCUCUCUUCGUCUCUCUCUUCGUCUCUCUCUUCGUCUCUCUCUUCGUCUCUCUCUCUCUCUUCUUAGUCUCUCUCUCUCUCUUCUUCGUCUCUCUCUCUCUUCUUCGUCUCUCUCUCCCCUCAGGCAGUGAAUAA